ACCUACGGGGCGCAGCAGUAGGGAAUCUUCCACAAUGGGCGAAAGCCUGAUGGAGCAACGCCGCGUGGGUGAAGAAGGUCUUCGGAUCGUAAAACCCUGUUGUUAGAGAAGAAAGUGCGUGGGAGUAACUGUUCACAUUUCGACGGUAUCUAACCAGAAAGCCACGGCUAACUACGUGCCAGCAGCCGCGGUAAUACGUAGGUGGCAAGCGUUAUCCGGAUUUAUUGGGCGUAAAGGGAACGCAGGCGGUCUUUUAAGUCUGAUGUGAAAGCCUUCGGCUUAACCGGAGUAGUGCAUUGGAAACU
rnacentral:rRNA from 1 species